AUUGAACGCUGGCGGCAGGCCUAACACAUGCAAGUCGAACGAGUGGCGGACGGGUGAGUAUUGUCUGGAAACCUGCAUGAUGGAGGGGGAUAACUACUGGAAACGGUAGCUAAUACCGCAUACCAUCGGAUGUGCCCACAUGGGCUUAGCUGGUGGGGGGGGUAAAGGCUCACCUAGGCGACGAUCCCUAGUUGGUCUGAGAGGAUGACCCGGGAAACUGGAACUUAGACAAGGUCCAGACGCCUACGGGAGGCAUCAGUGGGGAAUAGUGCACAAUGGGCGCAAGCCUGAUGCAGCCAUGCCGCGUGGAUGACGAAGGCCUUCGGGUUGUAAAGUACCUUCAGCGGGGAGGCGUUACCCGAAGACGAAGCACCGGCUAACGCCGUGCCAGCAGCCGCGGUAAUAC
rnacentral:rRNA from 1 species